ACUGAUAAAUUAAAUCCGAAAACUAUUAAUACACUGAGCACUAUAUUGUGAAGAAAUGUAAUUACUUCUAGUAACCACUAGAUGGAAGUAAUGUUUUGUGUGCUGCCUGUCUUGGCCAGGACCUGCUUGUAAAAGAGUUUUAUUUCCUGGUUAAAUAACGGUCGAACAAAAGGAAUUGGAGAGCUUAACUAAAGAGCUACUGACUGAUGUCUGUUUACUAAAGUGUGUCAUCCUGAGAAACUAUUUCAACUAUCGCCCUGACACCGUUUCAAAGGGCUGGGUUGAGGCUACAAAACACCUGAGGGGAAACGUGAGAGUACAGUUGGAUUUCGGAAGCAGGGCAGGACGAAUGCACCGUCAUUCCAUCGUGAAGAGCUCUGAGACGAGCUCUGCUUCUUCAUUUCACAGGUGUGUCGUAAGAGGUCGUGAUCGGAAGGAACCAAAAGCAUUUUAACGAUCUCCUGAUAGCACUUGAACCGGUUACAGGUGAGUCCUAAAUGAUUUAAGACAUCUUCUGU